UAAGAAUGGGUCUUGUGCCUGGAACGCUUCCUUCUUAAGAUACGAAGAGUUUUCACAGCCUGUGCUGGGCUGUUACCUUGUGUGGGAAUAUCUUUCCCUGUUUCAGACUCAGCAUGUACCCCUUUGUUCUGCUGGUGUGUACAUCAUGUGGAUAACCCCACUGUUAUACCUGUGCCUCAUGGGGAGGGGUUGGGGUCCUGCUAAAGCACAAGAUGGGUAUGUGCAGGCCACGGGCCCUGUGCCAGCUGCUGGGAGGAACUUGCUGGUUUUGGGGCACCAACACCCUCUACUGAAGCUGAUCUUGCUCCGUCUCCUUCCUACGUGGGGAACGCCUUCUUCCAUCUAGUUAGUGCCAGGCGGCAUUUUGUUCUCCUUGGUGACUCUGAUGUGAAGAGGCAGUGGGCGGAGUGCUUGGACUUCUGCUCCUGGUGACAGGCAACAGAACAGGACUUCUGCUCCAGGCUCGUAAGCAAAAGGGAGUAGUCUUGUCUCAGAUGCAACUUUGGACUGUGGACUUUUGAGUUAAUGCUGAAAUGAGUUAAGACUUUGGAGGACUGUUCAGAAGGAUGAUUUUGUUUUGUAAAAUGAGAAGGACAUGAGCUUUGGGGGGCCAGGGGCAGAAUGGUAUUAUUUGGAUCUG
rnacentral:lncRNA from 1 species